CCUGUUUCAACAGCGAACAUGUCGCGGCCUGUCAGAAAAUGAUGGGGAGCUGGAGUAUGCAGAUAUCACACGGAAAGACAGGAGGCAAGAGAGUGAUGGUGCCAGAGUCUGUUCAUAAGCAGAUGUCAUGGGAGCCACUACGUUUUUGGCUGAGGCUGGAUUUGAACCCGUUACCUCCUGCUUAUGGGGCCUGCACCCUACUCCUUUGAGCCACAGGCACUGCCCCAAGACUUCAUGUUUUUAACCAAACAGCUCAUAAUGGGCUUAACAUUAUAUAUAAAAUGACUUCUCAGGAAGUUCACAAGUAAAAACUAAUAACGGCAUUUAAAUUUGGAAAAUCAACUCAACAUUUAAAAAACAAAUUUUUGAAGAACUUGUCAACAUAAUUUGAAUAUGUGAUGAAUGUUUUCUUAAUUAAAAAAAUUAGUUAUGGCCUAUUUAUUUAUUGAAACAUUAUGUAAUUAUGAGAAUUCAGCUAUUCUAAUGAAGUAGAAAAUAAACUUGGGAAAAUGGAUUCAUAAAACCUUCCAUAAAUGAUAUUAUAAAAGAAACAAUUCAAAAGCUAAAGACAUUUUUUUUUCUAUUAAUUGAGUUCCCUCUUUGAUUUAGCCUAAUGCUAUUUGACCAAAAGAAACAAAUGAGUGUUUGGUUGUGGGGAAUUGAAGUUAGGGGCUACUGAGAAAUCUUAUCACUUCAGGAAUGACUUGUGAUAACCUUAUUAAAUACGAAGAAAUAAGUCAAAAAGAAUGUCUUUAAGGGCUUUGAUAUUUUAUUGAAACUGAUGGUUUUUCUUAAGAAAAAAAUGGGUUAUAGCAGUGAGUCACUGAAAAUUGUUGCACAUUAUUUUUUAUUUUAACUUCCACAAAGAC